CUAUACAUGAAUUUGUGAUAUAUGUGAAUUCCCCGUGUCUAUGUACAUGAAUGUCUCAUGUAGCGAGAUAGGUAGAUAAUAGCCAAGUUCUAAUUAAUAGCAAGUUCGGCACUCUCUUUUUUUAGCUCCUCGCUGCUCAUAGAAGGACAUGUAACUCUAGCAUUGAACUUGGAAGGUCAUUCUUGGGCAACGACUUGAGCGCCUCACAAUUACUGAUCUCCAAAAUUUUGAGAGAAAUCGGGUGGCUCUUGGGCAACUCCUUGAUGGCAUAACAAUAGACAAUCUGCAAUUUUUUCAGAGAUCUCAGAAUGUUGUUCGACAACGACUUGUUGGCAUAAGAGUAGAUGAUAUGUAAUCCCCGGACUUGGUGUAUAGAUGAAGUAGAACUUACUGUUAAUCCAUGGCUGUAGUAGAACUUGUCCUCCAGCAGGGAAGAGCGAGGCGACCUCGAGCACAGCCAGAGCCAGCACGUCUGCUGGUGGAUGGCUCGGCCUGGGGCAGUGUGUUGGUAGCAUCGUGUGUGGCCGACGGUGGGAUGCAAGGUGGCUGUUUCCGAAGGAAUGCGUGGCGGUGGCAAGCAAUCUGAAUGCGAACAGAAGAUGAACUUCUAACCUGCAGUUAUUUCGCAUUUUGAUUUUCCUCUCACAAGUUAAACUUCUAACUUGUAGUUUUUUUGCACUUACUUAAUCUCACAUGUUAAACUUCCAACCUGUAGUUGACCAGAAGCCAUCCAAAGUCACGAACGCAAGAGAGCAUGAUCCUCUGCUCAUGUUAAUGAUACACAGGAAGACCAUCUGUAGAAAGCACGUCUCAUCAAUCUUUUAACCAAAAUAUGUGGCUUUCUUAGUAAGCAAACAAAGAAGAACAUCUUCAAGUAACAAAUUUGCUCCAAGCCGACGGGGAUAGCACCUCUUAUCAUUCCUUCAACCACGGAUAUCAGCAAGUUCAAACCAGAAAAACAUGGGUAGCAACAGCAACUAAUCUCUCUCUAGCUCUCAAGCUGAACUGCAGCACCAUCACCAAAAGAAAAAUGGGUAGGUGAGAAUUCAUCUAUAUGCACAAAGGAGUAUAUUUUUUAUGUACCUGAACCUUUGCAGUAGAUUUACAUGAACUUCUUGUGCUAUGUUGAAGUCGCCGCCGAUGCUGAACCCCAGCGACCUUGGCCCUUCUAUUCCCAGACGAGCUGAUCAGACAGGAGCUGAAGGAGGAGCAGUUCAUUGACGUACCCGACGAGGUCCAGGAUCUGUACGAGCUCUAGCUCCCGACGACGUUGAUCAGGUAAAGAAAAGAACAUGUGAUUUUUGUU
rnacentral:lncRNA from 1 species